rnacentral:rRNA from 1 species
GUGGGGAAUAUUGGACAAUGGGCGAAAGCCUGAUCCAGCCAUGCCGCGUGUGUGAAGAAGGUCUUCGGAUUGUAAAGCACUUUAAGUUGGGAGGAAGGGCAGUAAGUUAAUACCUUGCUGUUUUGACGUUACCGACAGAAUAAGCACCGGCUAACUUCGUGCCAGCAGCCGCGGUAAUACGAAGGGUGCAAGCGUUAAUCGGAAUUACUGGGCGUAAAGCGCGCGUAGGUGGUUUUGUAAGUUGGAGGUGAAAUCCCCGGGCUCAAACUGUGAACUGCCUCCAAAACUGCAUGACUAGAGUACGGUAGAGGGUAGUGGAAUUUCCUGUGUAGCGGUGAAAUGCGUAGAUAUAGGAAGGAACACCAGUGGCGAAGGCAACUACCUGGACUGAUACUGACACUGAGGUGCGAAAGCGUGGGGAGCAAACAGGAUUAGAAAACCGAGUAGUCC